ACCCGGGCACCGCGCAACAGGCGGUCACGAACCUCGUCAGGUCCGGAAGGAAGCAGCGAUCAGUGAUGCGGCCUGUGUCGCGGGUCGCUCCGGGCCUU
rnacentral:SRP_RNA from 1 species